GGGGGCGCACCGGUUUCGACGGGGUCGGUCGAGACUGCGGUCGCAUGCCGAGCUGAGCAGCUCGUAAAAGGCUCACCAAUAGCAACCGCGAACAACGAACUCGCACUGGCAGCUUAAUUGACUGUCACGCUCGCCGGGGGAUAGCUCACGUCUUCCGGAUGAGCGUCAUGCUGUGAGCUAAGGUCGCGCGCUCCGUUCUGGCGCACGAUUCGAAAACCACAGGGACUGGUCCUGAUGUGUUCCGCGCUUUUCCGGGAACUUUGGGACGAGAUCAAUGAAAAGCUAAGCAUGUAGAAGCCCGGUUAUCACCUUCUUCGGACGCGGGUUCAAUUCCCGCCGCCUCCACCA
rnacentral:tmRNA from 1 species